UUUCCGUAGGUGAACCUGCGGAAGGAUCAUUCACAAUAAGUGUAUUAUGUCACUUUUUAAACACUCUAUGUCCACCUUGUGUGCACAGUAAUGAGACCCUUUAUCGUUAUCUUUUAGGUUACGGAGGGGGGAACCUCUACAACUUACCAACAUCACCUUUAACUUAUUUGUCUAAGCAUUUGUUAUCACGAAUUAACUUAAUUCGAAAAAACAACUUUCAACAACGGAUCUCUUGGCUCUC
rnacentral:misc_RNA from 1 species